CUGGCGGCGUGCUUAACACAUGCAAGUCGAACGGAAGUUAGAUGUUAGACUGUAGAUGUUAGAUAACAGAUGAAGGAAUAGGAUCCACAACCAGGAUAAAGAACCGACAUCUAAAAUCUAGUUUCUAGAGUCUAAUGUCUAACUUUAGUGGCGGACGGGCGAGUAACGCGUGAGCAACCUGCCUCUCAGUGGGGAAUAACGGCCGGAAACGGCCGCUAAUACCGCAUAAAAUAUCCACAUGGCAUCGUGAGGAUAUCAAAGGAGAAAUCCGCUGAGGGAUGGGCUCGCGUCCGAUUAGCUUGUUGGUGAGGUAAUGGCUCACCAAGGCAACGAUCGGUAGCCGAACUGAGAGGUUGAUCGGCCGCAUUGGGACUGAGACACGGCCCAGACUCCUACUGGAGGCAGCAGUGGGGAAUAUUGCACAAUGCAAGAAACUCUGAUGCACCACGCGCGUGAGGGAAUAAGGUCCUCCGAUUGUAAACCUAA
rnacentral:rRNA from 1 species